rnacentral:snRNA from 1 species
GAAAACCACUAAAACCAGCAAUU